UGGGGAAUAUUGGACAAUGGGCGAAAGCCUGAUCCAGCCAUGCCGCGUGUGUGAAGAAGGUCUUCGGAUUGUAAAGCACUUUAAGUUGGGAGGAAGGGCAGUUACCUAAUACGUGAUUGUUUUGACGUUACCGACAGAAUAAGCACCGGCUAACUCUGUGCCAGCAGCCGCGGUAAUACAGAGGGUGCAAGCGUUAAUCGGAAUUACUGGGCGUAAAGCGCGCGUAGGUGGUUAGUUAAGUUGGAUGUGAAAUCCCCGGGCUCAACCUGGGAACUGCAUUCAAAACUGACUGACUAGAGUAUGGUAGAGGGUGGUGGAAUUUCCUGUGUAGCGGUGAAAUGCGUAGAUAUAGGAAGGAACACCAGUGGCGAAGGCGACCACCUGGACUGAUACUGACACUGAGGUGCGAAAGCGUGGGGAGCAAACAGGAUUAGAUACCCCCGUAGUCCCUGAGCGGGC
rnacentral:rRNA from 1 species